AAAAUACUCCCUUCGUUUCAAAAUUCUUAUCUUUGAUUUGUCUAAAUAUGAAUGUAUCUAGUCAUGUGUUAUUAUUUAGAUACAUUCAUUCCUAGACAAACGUAAGACAAGAAUUUUGGGACGGAGGGAUUAAUAA
rfam:Hordeum vulgare subsp. vulgare, WGS project CAJW01000000 data, contig: morex_contig_243683